rnacentral:tRNA from 1 species
CGUACUGUGGUCUAGCGGUUAGAACGCUGGCCUUGUAAUCCUGGGGUCUCGGGUUCGAUUCCUGGCGGUGCCC